CCUGCCUUCUUUGCUCUAAGUGCUAGAGAGCUGUGAGCAAAGAGCAUUAGUGGAGGAGGGGAAGAAACUGCCCACCAGCUGGGCUCUGGACUGAAGUUCCACCCUGGGUUGCAGGAUUCCUGGAAAGAUGAUGUCCAGAACCAGUGCCAUGCUCUUUGUAGGACUAACUAGGUACUGGUGUGUCACCAACAUCUGGUUUUCCCUGGAGAUGUUUACAUGCAACUGUUCUAUGAAAUCAGUCCACCAUGCAAACUCGUCCUUCUGAGAAAAUGUGUGCAGAUGAUUUAACUUAAUGACUUAGUUGAAUUGAAUGGCUUCCAGUUGCAUAGUAAUGUGUUUUGAGAAGUUUUGAAAGAGAGAGAGGAAAAGCUGGUUUCCCAUCUCUUUCAAAUAAUUUUCCAUUCCUCAGGGGGAGAAAGGAAAGUCUGAGAAUCCAGCAGAAUUAAUGCAGGUUACCCAUUACUUCAUUUUAUAAUGUUUGGCAAGGAAAACAUGUAAGUCAGUUAAAUCUGUUUAUUUAGCUCUUCCAGGCAUUCCAUGUGGAUGGGGCCUGGGUUGGAGGGGACAGUGAAAUGUAUUUCUGCUGAGAUGCCUUACUCCCUUACUCGAGAGAAAUAGGUCUGUUUUAUAAGCAAGGCCCGCAACACCUGGAUUCUAAGGGGUUCAUUAGGGACCCAGGGGUUUGCUUGAGCAUUUGUACGCAGCGGGCCCUCCUGCAGAUGAAGAACCUGAGAAGCUCAUCUCCGACCCCUUGGGCUGUUAUGGAAAAGCUCCAUUUGGGGUCACCUGGGUUCAAUUCCUGUUCUGCAGUUUGCCAGCAGUGUGACUUUGGGCAAGUCAUGAAAUCUCUCUGCACAUCCUAAGUUCCCUCCUUCAGAGGAUUGUUGUAAGAAUCACAUGAAACAGCCGAUGUGGAAGUGCCUUAUAAUCUAUAAUUCAAUAUAACAAUGCAUUCUCAAGUAUCAUUCUUAAUACCGAUCGUAAGAAAUCAUGCUUCCAGUAGACCGCGGUAGCAGAGAGGGUAGAGAAUAUGUAGACUAUCAAGGUCCUUUGAGGAAAAUAUUGACUUCUCAGACCUUUUUCAUAAAUGCGUGACUCGAGCUUGAGAACAGGUCGCCCUAGAGGAGGGAGUCAAUGCAGUAGUUGGUAGGGCCAUAGGCUGUUUGUGCCUUCGCAGCGUCAGGUGAGCCAGCAGAGAUUGCACCAGGCAGAUGAGGAUGACAAUGCUGAUGAUGCUGGCCGAUCCUGUGCUCUUGUCAGACCCCGCUAGGCGCUCACUUGGAUCACCUACCUGGAUGAUCCAGUGGAUCACACUGAUUCUCCUUUGAUUCUUAUUCCAUUUUACAGAGGAUAAUUCCUGGAAAGGUUAAGAAACUUGUCCAAAUUUGCACAGCUAGAGGGGAGCAGAACAGGGAUUCAAACUCAGGUAAGAAUCAGUUUUCAAGCUGACACCCUUAACCACUGUUAAAGGGAAAGAAAUAUAACAAGGCUUUCCCCCCCCUCCCUGAAGAAAUGCUCUUUUCCUCUAUACAUUCUAUCAGAGGUAGCCUUCUGAAUCCCUCAGGAUCACCUAGAUAAACAAAAAUAGAAAAGAAGGCGGAGAUUAUGCCAUGUGGCUAUAAUUACUGUUGCUUAGGAUUAGCUAGAAGCAGGGUCACCUCUGAGAAUCCUUGGUUUUCAAGAAGACCUCUGGACUCUCCCUUUUGAGAUUUCAGGACAGAUGUUAAAGGGCAAGACUCUGCCUUCUGUGAGAACAGAUACUGUUUUUUGUUUCUUUAAUACCUUUUAAUUUAUUUUUAAUUUAAUUUUUAUUUUUUAGAGAGAGAGCGUGUUGAUGCGCUGGAGGAAGGGGGUGGGGCAGGGAGACAACCCCAAGCAGAGCCCAACCUGGGUCUCAAUCUCCCUUACCUGAUAUCAUGACCUGAGCUGAAAUCAAGAGUGUGAUGCUUAACCAACUGAGCCACCCAGGUGCCUCACCAUUCUUUGGUUUCUAAGGAUUCCUUUCAGCAUCUAGCUCAGGCUUUGUGCAACAUUAACAAAUCUUUGUAGCAAAUAGAAUCCAGAGAAAUGAAAACAAACCCUCAAAUCUUCCCUCAAGACCCUAUCCUUUUGUCACUUCCAAAAAGACCUGCCCUAAAGUUGGUGGCUUAGAGUAUUUUGAUAGCUGAAGUCUGAAAGCAAUCUCUGCAUUGAUUCUGUGGGGCAGGUGAAGCCCUACCUGGUCCCCCACACUGUCAAUGUGUAAGUUGUCCUUACAUCUUCCUUCAGAUUUGAAGUGUCUGCGGAAGUUACUACGCAUCUGGAGGAAGGAACAGAUGUAACCAGAAGGGACUGGAACUGUUUGGUUUUUCAUUGAAGACUUUUGGUUCUCUGUGAUUUUGUUCUUCUCUAGUUGUGUUUACAAACAAAGUAAACAAAUAUGACAACCCCAACAAGAUGAGUAGAGAUUGCUUAUCUAAAAGAGAGACUGAUUUAUACAUGCCUAGUAGUUUCACUGUGCUAAGUCUCUCUUUUCAUUUUCUUUUCCAUCCUGUGAUCAACCCCAUGUACAUUUGGAUCAUUGUGAAGGCAUCCCCAAGGAGUUUUAGUGGAAAGGGAAAGACAUAAGGAAGCCGGGAUACAAGGCUCUGUUCUACCUGGUGUGGAGGUAAAAUCACACAUUAUCCCUGGGAAGAUGAGCCGGGGAUGGUACGACUGUUGCUUACUUUCCCACAUUAUGUGACAAAGAUCUGAAUGAGACUUUGGUGAAGCUCUUGCGGCCAAAUAGAUGAUGCAUGAAGCACUUCACAAUGCACGUCAGCCACAAAACAAAAUCCCUAAUCCUGCUUUUCUGUGAAAAGACUCUAAUCCAAGUACUUCAUGCUAGAUGAUGUCAGUGAAGUCAGGACUUAGGAGAGACUGUCCUAGUUUUCAUCUUUUACUCUUGUUGUCAGAGCAGAUAUAUGUGUCUCGUGGAUAAUAUCCUUUCUAGGUAGCUUUGUAGAUGAUUUAUAGAGUGGGACCUUGGAAGGACUCUCAUCCUAAAGCUCAGGUAGCCACAUCCUUCUUGGCUUUGCUAUUUACUAGCUAUUUGACCUUAACCUUCCUGAGCCUCAUUUUGUGCUUUGCCUACUUCAUAGAAUGGCAUAAAUUCAGUAGCACCUGUGAAAAGAAUCCAAAAUCUGUAAAAGCACUAUGCAAAUUUCAGGCACUUCAAUUUAUAAUUUUAGAAAUGGCAGGUCAGGGAUGCCUGGGUGCCUCAGGGGUUGACCAGCUGCCUUCGGCUCAGAGCAUGAUCCCGGGAUCUGGGAUCGGGUACCACAUGGGGAUCCCUUGUGAGGAGCCUGCUUCUCCCUCUGCCUGUGUCUCUGCCUCUCUAUGUGUCUCUCAUGAAUAAACAAAUAAAUCUUUAAAAAAAAAAAAAA
rnacentral:lncRNA from 1 species